AGACUACUAUAAUGUGCUCUACAUGGGACAUCUUGAGAACAGUCUGGAAACAGAAAUAAAAGUUCAAUUUGCAUUUGAUACAAUCUCAGGCAGAAAAUAUUGUCUAAACAUGGCCAUCAUGAAAAUGUUCUGUCAUAACCGUUGACAAUCCUCGAAUACAAUAAUGAUACCAGCAUCUUUAUCUGUUUGGC